CGCACAGUGGAUCCUAGGCGUUUUUACUCACGCAAAUAAUUGUCACUCUUUUGCUGGGUGUAACCUGACAUAA
rnacentral:misc_RNA from 1 species